GGCAUACUGAAAAAGAAUCAAGUGGAGAUGCAGAAUAGUACAACUGGAACAGUAAACAGACUCAAAGAAGACGGAAUCUUGCUCUGUUCCCCAGGCUGGAGUGCAGUGGCACAAUCUCGGCUCAAUGCAACCUCCUCCCACGGUCAAGCAACUCUCCCGUCUCAGCCUCCUGAGUAACUUGGAUUACAGGUGCGCGCCACCACACUUGUCUAAUUUUUGUAUUUUUAGUUGAGACGGGGUUUCACCAUGUUGGCCGGGCUGGUCUCAAACUUCCGACCUCAAGCGAUCUGCCUGCCUCAGCCUCCCAAAGUGCUGGGAUUACAGGCGUGAGCCACUGUGCCUGGCAGAUUAUGUUAUUUCUAAAUAAUAAUAGCUAUUAUUAACAAUUUUUAUUUUUAAGCAAAAACACCUAGUAGAUACAAAAACAACUUACAAAUAUUUCAAAUACUAUAAAACAAUACUAUGAAUUGGCCCUUUUUUUAAAAAAAUUGCUUUUUAAGAUAUUACAGGUACCUGAAACAAAGCACCUUAGAUUUGGAUUUUGUUGGAGAAUCUGCAACCUCCCUGGUGGUGAGCACAUAGAGACAUGUGCUGUGUAAGACAUCAGUAACACUGCUGGGCUCCCCUAAGGGAGCAACAGGCUUGCUAAAGAAGCUGAUGCAGAUUCCACCCUGUGUAACAGUGAUGCAUCAAACCCGAGAAUUUCUACCAGUCAAAUAAGCAUGCAUAAUGGUUUCUUUGAAGAUGCAUGUUUCCCCAUUCCAAAAUAUAUAGUUGGUGUAUGAGAAAAAUUUAAGUUGUAUUCCUACCUCAAAGAAAAUUCUAGAAAAAAUUAAAGAUGGAAUAAAGAAUAAAAGUUGAAGUCAUAAAAUAAAAAUAAACUGAUGAAUAUUUUUGUGUUCUCUGAAUAGGAAGGAUAUUUUCAGUCCAAAGGUAGUGCAGCCAGAGUGCUCCAACAAACCUUAACUAAUGCAUGAGUUCUGCCUGUGUGUUUUCCUAUAUAGAGGUGAACAUUUCAUUAAGAAUUUUACUCUGUGGUAGAUGUAUGGUCAGCAUUUUCGUCUCUUCAAUGACAACAUUUUUCUUGUGAAUGUUUUUCAUGCAUUCGUCCAAUUUUGCAGCUUUCUCACAUUUUUUCUUAUAAAAUCUUUGUGUUGAUGCUGUGCCACAGAAUUUCUUGAACACAUAUUUUAGUGAAUUGGAGUUUCCUGGACCAGCAGUUUGCAGGUGGAUUCGUGGAUGGUGGGAGGCCCGGGGGUUUUCUUCCAGGCUUUAAAUGUUCCAAAAGCCUUCUAUUUAUUGUCAUAGAGACCACUGAUUCUGGCAGAUGUGGCUUUUCUGGGAAAUUUUUGUGUGUGUAUCCCUGUUCUCUCUGGUUCUCUGAUCCAAGAUGAAUCUGGAAGAGCUUCUGUCACCAGCCCUGCACUCCCCAGGCCCUUCAGCACCUGCAUCUUCAUGUGAGCUUUUCACCUCAGUAUGUUUUUGCUGGACCUUUCUGAGAUGUGCUGCUAAGAGCCCUCUAGAUAUUCUCUGUGCUUUUUCUCUCUGCAUUCCAUCCUCAUGACUUCUGCUGAAGCUCAGCUUCCACAGCUCUGUGCUCACUCAGUUGUUAGAUUUUUGGGUUGAAGAUUUUGCAUUUCCUGGUGAGUUCCUCCUUUUCAGGAAGUAUCGUUUUGCUGAUACUCUUAGAUUUGCUGUUCAUAAGGGACUUUGAUAUUCUCUUUGCAUUUUCUUAAUUUUAAUUGCUUUUCCUUUUGACUCUGCAGGAUUUAUGUGACCUACUUGCUGAAAAAAAAAUGGGGCAAUUUUUUUUAAUCUUCUAUAUUUUGUUCCUAAUUUUUCCUUGUUGCAUUGUUUGCUGUCUCAGAGGAGAAGGAGAAAGAGGCUGUCACUGAUGCUCGCAACUGCACAUGAUGUCCUGGGCCAUGGGUGAAUCCUUUGAACUUAAUGCAGAGAAUGUCUUGUGAGUAGAUAUGUGGAGAUGUGUGUAUGGAGUCUUUCAGCCUUUUUGUUAAGUGGCACCUUACCUCCAUCAGUCAUUGUAUGCAGUGUCAUAGUUCUGAGUCCUUUCUAGGUUCCCUGGGGCAGACUGGUUUGCUGCCUUUGCCCUCUGAAAUAAAUUACUACUUCUCCACCUACUUUUGUCUCCCAAAGCUUUCUCAGCUGUCUAAUGGAUAUAAUACUAGAUAAUAUCUUACAAAGCUGUUGCAUAGAUUAAACGAAUUUAUAUAUGUAAUAUGCGUGGCACAGCACCUGGCAUGGAGUAAUCAUUCUAUAAAUGGUAGUCAUUAGUAUUAUACAACUUCUUACUAUCCCAGACAGUCCUGGUCAUAUUAAUUACCUGGAUAGUGACGCCAAGAAAAAUCUCUACUGCUGCCUUUGGGACUUACUAAUUUAUUUUUAUUCAUUUUAGCAAAACAAAAAAUUGAGAGAAAUGAAAUAAAUUAUUGCUUUAAUCCUACCAUUACACUGUCUUAAUUACCAGAAAUGUGUGAUAAAUUAUAACAUCUGAUAGUUAAUCAUUAUUCAAUAUUCUUUUUCAAGAAUAUUUUGACUGUUUUCAUACCUUAGUCCAGAAAAUUUUACAGUCAUUUUGACUGGUCUUCCCUAAUUUCCUUCACCCUUAAAAUACUCUUAAGAUUGGCCGGGUGCAGUGGCUCACGCCUGUAAUCCCAGCACUUUGGGAGGCCGAAGUGGGCGGAUCACCUGAGGUCAGGAGUUCGAGAUCAGCCUGGGCAACGCAGUGAAACCCCGUCUCUACUAAAAGUACAAAAUUAGCCGGGCAUGGUGGUACAUGCCUGUAAUCCCAGCUACUCGGGAGGCUGAGGCAGGAGAAUUGCUUGAACCUGGGAGGCGGAGGAUGCGAUGAGCCGUGAUCAUGCUGUUGCACUGCAGACUGGGCAACAAGAGUAAAUCUCUGUCUCACAAAAGAAAAAAACAAAAAACAAAAAACAAGAUUUUGAUUGGAAUUAUACUUAAGUAAUUUUCAAAUCUGGGGAGAAGUUAUAUCUUUACAGAACUUAUUUUUUCAAUCCAAUAACAAGGUCAGCUUAACAUAUGCUUUUUCUUUCUCCUCAGUAAAUAUUUGCAUUUUUCAGGUAGGCCCUACACACUUACUAAUUUAAUUUCUGUGUAUUUUAUAUGUUCUUGUUUUACAUGUUGCUACUAUAAAUGGGACAUUAUUUUAUUUUUAUAGUUGACUAUUGCUAUAUAGAAAACAUAUAUUUAUGUAUUCCUUUUUAAGUGUCCAAAUUACUUUUUUGAUUCAAGUGGGUUUUCCGGGUAGAGGAAAAAGUUUCUCUUUCAAAUAAUGAUCAUUUUACCUCCUCUAACAUUUAUGACUAGUAUUCUUUUUCUUAUCUCAUAGCAUUGCUUAUGACUUCAGAAAUAAUAGUAGUGGUUACAAAUAUGUUUAUUUUAUCCUUCACUUGAAUAGGAAUGUCUUUAGGAUUGUUAUGACUGAUAUUUGUUGGCUGCACAUAGACAUUCUUUAAACAAGUGUCCCACUGACUUGUGUUUUGCUUUUGCUGCUUUAAGCUAGAAUAUCCCAGGAAGUACACACACAAUCUCUCUCUCACACACAACUCUCAUAAUACACUCAUGAAAAGAAAAGAGUUCUUUGAGAUUCUAAUAUCUGGGACCUUUGUGGUAGAUAAUCAAGCUCUAUCCUCAGAGGAAAAAAAAUUGGACAUUUUGAUUUGAAAGUGUCAGGAUCCAGAGGCAAGAAGAAGAGGAAAGGAAAAUAAAGAGAUUCUGGAUCUUUGGAAUUAUGUGACACACAUUCCUGGUACCACUUCCAGGUUCAUUUGCUUUCUACAUGAUUCCAUUUUAUGAUCACAGUGAAGACUGUAAGCUAUGAUUUAAAAAAAACUACUUGGCAUUAUUUUAUUCUAUUAGUACGAAUCAAGCUGAACUCGUGAACAGUGAUUGCUGUAUCAUAAGUUCAAAAGUUAUUGAAUAGGUGGGACUGUUUUCUCCUAUACCAAACAGUCCUGACUGUAUUACUUCUUAGGUUCUUUGAUCUAUGUUUUAAAUAUUGUUUUCUAGCCUUCCUCUACAUUCUGGUAACACCAAAUGCUGGCAAGGAUCUGGAGAGAUUUGAUCAUUCAUACACUGCUGGCAGGGAUGUAAAAUGGUGCAGCAACUUUGGAAAACAGUUUGGCAGUUUCUUUAAAAAGUAAACAUGUUAAACCCUAUGACCCAGGAAUUGCAGUCUUGGGUAUUUCUCCCAGAGAAAUGAAAUCUUAUGCUCACAGAAAAACCUGUACAUGAAAGUUCAUAGCAGCUUUGUAAUAGUUAAAAUCGGGAAACAACCUAGAUGUCCUUCAACAUGUAAAUAGUUAAACUGUGGUACAUCCAUACCAUGGAAUGCUACUCAGCAAAAAAAAAAAAAAAAAAACAAAACAACUAUUGUUACAUGAAAUAACCUGGAAGAAUCUCCAGAAAAUUAUUGAGUGAAAAAAGCCAUCCCCAAAAGGUUACAUACUGUAUUAUUUCAGUUAUAUAAUGUGAGAAACAGGCUCACCCAUCCAAACCCAAAGAAUGGACUCAGAGGCACAGAGAACAGUGAAAGUGAGACUUUUAAUAGUGGUCUUGCAAGAUUGGAUGUCUGGUAGGCAGGCAUACUUGGGGCAGCUUCAGCAUGUAAUUUAUCUCCUAGCCUGCAAGUCCCUCCCCUAGUUCCUCAUUGAUCAAGUACUAUGGGGUUACAAUCUGCCCAGUCACCUAAGUUUCAUUAUCUACCUUAUAAGUUUAUACCCUUGUCCCCUUCCCUGCUUAAGUUUCGAUUUCACAAUAAUGAAACUUUCUUCCCUUUGAUGGGCUGACCCUUCCUCUACAUUCUGUUCACUUAUCAUGACUUUCUAGGAGCGUGAGCCGUGUAGUUUGUUACAUCCGCAGGCUGGCUGCCAGUGCAUAGAUUUAUCAUGCCUUGAAAAUGGACCAUUUAAGAUGUUUUCUCACAUAUAACGUUAUUGAAAUGACAAAAAUAAUAGCAAUGGAAAACUCAUUAGUGCUAGGUAAUAAUUAAGGAGGAAGCAGGGCUAGAAGAGAAGUUAUGGCUAUAAAAGGACAACAGAAGAGAUCCUUCUGGUGAUAGAAACAUUCUGUAUCUUUGUAGGAGAUCGGUCUGGGUGGUGGGAAAAGUUACAAAAAUUAUAGGAAAAAUGCAAACCUUCUUGGAAGGCCAGGAGUUUUUGCAAAAGCUUCGAAAGAAAAUUUGGCUGAAGGCAGCUGAAUUCUCUCGGGGUAGACAACAAGGAAGUGUAAGAGAGUUUAUCUAGAUAAGUUAGUUUACUUAGGCCUGGAACCUGGCCUUUAAUCAUCCGCAUGCAGGACUGCUCUCUCCAUGGGCGGGGGAGGGGUGGGGCGACCAUAUUAAUUACCCCAAGUUGUGUUGACUCAAAGCCAUUGUCAUUAAAUCUGUACUAAAUAAAUGCCCACAGCGCAGGCUUGUUGGGGCUGCUGUGACUCUUUAUGGCACCCUCCUUGGUGUCUAUGAGCAGGCUGGUCCGCUAGCUGCGGGCCCAGGCAAAAAACCUGUGUCUGCGUACAUUUUUUCAUCCGUAGUUCGACCAGGGUCAGACCCGGCAUUUGGUGCCCUUUGUGAGGAACACUGCCACAGAUUGCAAUGGAACCCUCGAAAACGAAGGUGAAGAGACAGCGCAGUCAGAAAGUCACAGUCAUUGAUGCCCUCUCAGGAUUUCUAAGUUUGAGGGAAUUGUUCAGGCCAGGGUUUCAUCAUGGGACAAUAGUUAUCAGUUCAACAGCAACAGUAUGUAAAAGUAUUGAAACAGCUGCUUAAAGCUAGUGGAGCCUCAGUUUUGCAGGCUCAAUUAAGGGACCUAAUGCAAACUGUUGUUUCCCAUAACCCAUGGUUCCUGGAAGAAGGUACGCUAGACGUAGAGCUCUGGGAACAAGAGGGGAGAAAUCUUAAACAACAUCAUGCACAAGGGCAGUGGGUCCCAGUAACAUCUCUAACAUUAUGGGCUUUAGUUAUGGCUGCUUUGGUCCCACUCUACACAGAAGAGCCUAAAAAGGGAAGAAAGGAGGAACCAUCACCUACCUUACCGCCUCCUUCUCCCUCAGCCCCACCAUUAAUGGGCAGAAAUACCAAAGAGGAAACAGUUUUUUCCUGAGCCCCCUCCUCCAAUAAAUUGGAAAAAAAGACAAGGGAUACGCUACAGCUAUGGGACCCUGUCUUAGGCAAGCAGCAUUAGAAGGGGAGCUCUUAGCCUGCCCGGUAAUGCAAGAUCAACAAGGCAAUCUGGUGUAUGAACCUGUUACUUUUGACGCUUAUAAAGAGAUAAGAAAAAGCAUUAGAAAAAACGGAGCCACUAGCCCAUUUAUGAAAGGGCUAAUUGAGGUCACUCUGCAGACCUCUUUCUAAUAAUGGCCACUGUUAUUCCUCCCCUACCCCUAACGUGGCUCUCUCAAAAUCCUAUUUGGGUAGAACAGUAGCCUUUAAAGGGAGAGAAAUUACAAAGAGCUCAUGAAUUAGUUGAGGAGCAAUUAAAAGCCGGCCACAUAGAACCAUCAAACAGCCCUUGGAAAUCGCCCAUUUUCAUCAUUCCCAAAAGCUCUGGUAAAUGGAGACGUUCUACAUGACUUACAGGCUAUCAUGCUAAUUUGCAACCUAUGGAGCCCCUUCAACAGGGCCUCCCUUCCCCUGCAGCGAUUCCUCAAGAUUAGCCUAUAGUCGUUAUUGACUUAAAAGACUGCUUUUAUACUAUUCCCCUUGCAAAACAGGACAGAGAAAAAUUUGCAUUUACAAUACCAGCUAUCAAUAAUGAAAGGCCAGCUUGCUGAUUUCAUUGGAAAGUACUUCCUCAAAGAAUGCUGAACAGUUCUACCAUGUGUCAGUAUCAUGUGAAUCAGGCUUUGCUCCCCAUUAGAAAAGAAUUUCCUAGUUGCAAGAGUAUUCUUUUAUGGAUGAUAUUUUACUAGCAGCCCCAAUGGAACCAGUACUUUUAAGUUUAUAUGCCUCUGUCGUAAAGAAUACACAGUUAAGAGGUUUAGUCAUCGCACCUGAAAAAGUACAAAUGUCCUCCCCUUGGAAAUAUCUUAGAUACAUACUAACUUCCCAGUCAGUAAGACCUCAAAAGUUUAAAUUAAAUACUAGCAACUUACACACCUUAAAUGAUUAUCAAAAAUUACUAGGUGAUAUUAAUUGGCUUCACCCCACCUUGGGCAUAACUACUGAUAAGUUACAAAACCUGUUUUGUAUCCUAAAGGACAACAUAGCCCUAGAGUGUCAGGUAUUUAACUCCUGCAGCAAAAAGGGAAAUUAAGGAAAUAGAGCAAGCUAUUUCUCAGAGGCACAUAGAUCACAUAGACCCAAAAUUUCAGUUCAAUUGUUUGUUUUUCCUGCUAAACAUUCCCCAACAGUAUUAAUAGGACAGAUGGCCCCAGGGCUGUGCUUCCUAGAAUGGGUUUUUUGCUCACAUACCAGAACUAAAACUCUAUCUCCCUAUAUCCAGCUAGUUAGUAAAGUCAUCUAUUCUGGCCGCAGAUGAUACAGUCAGUUGCUAGGUUAUGACCCUGAUGACAUCAGAAUUCCUUUGAGCAAAAAACAAUUCGAAGCAGUAUUGCCCCUAUCUCUAGAUCUUCAAAUGGCACUCUCUGAUUACACAGGCCAUAUAGAGCAUGCCCUUCCUGCUGACAAACUAAUUCAGUUCUUAUCUCAUACUACUGUAGUUGUGCCUACAAAAGUAGUUCACUCACCCAUACCCAAUGCGUUUAACACUUUUUACUGACAGCUCUGGUAAAAAUGGAAAAGCGGCAAUUUGGUGGAAACCACAUAAUUCCCUCAUUUGUUCUGGAUUUACUAGCACUCAGCUAAGGUUAGAGCCUUAAUAUUGGCCCUGGAAACUUUUUCCACUCAGCCCAUCAAUACUGUUAGUGACUGUGCUUACUCUGUUUAUUUACUGUAGAACCUUGAAACAGCCCUCAUUAAGUCCACUCUCGAGCCCACCCUGUGUGCACUUUUUCUUCAGCUUUAACAAUCGCUAGGUCAAGUACACAUCCUAUUUUUAUCACACAUAUUGGAGCCCACAGCUCACUGCCUGGACCAUUGGCUUAUGGCAAUGAACAAGCAGACCUGCAAGUUAUGAUGUCACUACUUGACCAAGACACCCAAUCGCAUCAAUUUUUCCACCAAAAUUGGAGAAACUUAACUAAACAAUUUAAACUUACCCAAAGACUAGCUAAACAAAUUAUCCUGCAGUGCCCAGAUUGCCAGUUCACAGGCAUGUCCCCUCCUUCAACAGGUGUUAACCCUAGAGGACUAGAACCUAAUCAGUUAUGGCAAACAGAUGUUACUCACAUCCCUGAAUUUGGAAAACUAAGAUAGGUACAUGUAUCCAUGGAUACCAUUUCUCAAUUAGCAUGCAUGCUUUUCCUGGAGAGUCCACCCAAUAUGUUAUUAAACAUCUUCUCUUAACUUUUGCAUUUAUGGGGCAGCCCACAAAAAUUAAAACUGAUAAUGGUCCAGUUUAUGCCAGCUCACAAUUUUAACAAUUUUAUCACACGUGGACUAUCCAACCUUCCACAGGCAUCCUGUAUAACCCCCAAGGACAGGCCAUAGUAGAAUAUGUCCACUCCACCCUUAAAAAUAUGCUCAGAAAACAAAAAAGAUGGAAUAUGAAUAAGGACCCUGCAACACUACUAGCACAACCCUUAUUUACCCUUAAUUUCUUACAUGAUAAAUUUCAAUCAACUAUAGAAAAGCACUUUUCUAAAAUGUCUCAAGACAUAAAACCUGCAGUUUUAUGGAAAGAUGUAAAUAGUAAUGUAUGGUGUGGUCCAAAUGAAUUGCUAACAUGUGGAAGAGGAUAUGCUUGUAUUCACACCCCCUCAGGUUCUCUUUGGAUUCCAGCAAGACGCAUCAAACCUUACCAUAGUGUGGCUAGGACCCAACCCGGUACCAGAAAUAAAGAAAAUGGCUCUACAGGACCCACAGCCCUGGACAGUGUGGCUUCCUCAGAUGACACAGGCUGACACAGGCCCCAGAUGUAAUGCUGAAGAAGACAAGUCAGAAGACUGAGCGAAUCCUGCCCCGGACACAGACACCAUUCACUCCAGAUAAUUUGUUCCUUGCUAUGCUUUAUUAACCUUUUUAAAUUCUCUCACUCUGCCUGCAACCAGUACCUGCUACACUCUAUUGGGUCCAUCUUCUAAAUCUGCCUUUCUUCCGCCCUGUUACCUGGGCAGACACUCACUUCCCAGCCUCUAGUAAUGUAAUUGCUUGGCUGGAAGGGGUUAACAUACCCCCAUUGGGGUUCCUUAGUAACGGCACACAUUGAACUGAGGUGCCAAGUAACACUACAUGUCACUCAUUCAUUGGAAAAGAAUGUUACUGAUUAUACUCAUGUUUGUCUUGUUACUAAUUCUAGGAUGCAAAGCCAGAAUACAAGCAGUGACCACUAUGCCUAACAAGCCUGUUGCUGCACACAUCUGUACUCUUCAUUCAACAAAACCUGAUGCAAAAAAACAGGAAAAGGGGCAGACGUAGGAGAUUGGUCAGGGUGGUGGGAAAAGUUAUAAAAAUUAUAGGAGAACCACAAACCUUCUUGGAAGGCUGGGAGGUUUUGCAAAAGCUUCUAAAAAAAAUUUGGCUGAAGGCAGUUGAAUUCUCCCAGGGUAGAUAACAAGAAAGUAUAAGAGAAUUGAUCUAGAUAAUUAGUUUACUUAGGCCUUGGAACCUGGCCUUUAAUCAUCGGCAGGCAGGACUGCUCUCUCAGUGGGGAGGGGGUGACCAUGUUAAUUACCCACAAGUUGUGUUGACUCAAAGCCUUUGUCAUUAAAUCUGUACUAAAUAAAUGCCUGCAGUGAAGGCUUGUUGGGACUACAGCUGCUGUGACUAUAUACAGCACCCUCCUCGGUGUCUAUGAGCAGCCCGGUCCCCUAGCUGCAGGCCCGAUCAAAAAACCUGUGUCUACGUACAUUUUUUUCAUCUGUCGCUUGGCCAGGGUCUGUGGGUCAAACCUGGCAUAUCUUGACUGUAGUACUAUCAAUGUCCUGGCUAGGAUGUGGUACCAUAGUUUUGUAAGGUGUCACCACUGGAAAAGUGAUACAUGGAAUCUCUAAUUCUUUUUUUGAAACAUUUAUUGUAAUAUAAUUCACACACCAUGCAAUUCACUCAUUUAAAGUGUACACUUCCAUGAUUUUUAGUAUGUUCACAGAUAUGUACAACUAUCACCACAAUCAAUUUUGGAAUUUUUUUUAUCACCACAAAAUGAAACCUUGUACACUUUAGCUAUCAUCCUCCUAUCCUCAUGUAACCCUCCACAACCAUAAGCAACCACUAAUCUCUUUUCUGUCUAUGUAGAUUUCCCUCUUCUGGAUGCUUAAUAUGAAUGGAAUCAUAUAAUAUGUGGUAUUUGUGACUGGUUUAUUUUACUUACCAUGUUUUGAUGGUUCAUCCAUGUUGUAUGCAUCCAGCAUUUUAUUCCUUUUUAUGGCUGAAUAAUACUCCAUUAUGUAUGAACAUACCACAUUUUAUUUACCUAUUCAUCAGUUAAUGAACAUUUGAGUUGUUUCCACCUACUGGCUAUUAUGAAUAAUGCUGUGAUAAACAUUCACAGACAAAUUUUUGAGUGAACAUGUUUGCACUUCUCUUGAGUAUAUAUCUAGGAAUGGAAUUGCUGGGUCAUAUGGUAACUCUAUGUUUAAUCAUUUGAGGAACUGCCAAAUGGCAUUCCACAAUGGCUGCAUCCUUUUAUAUUGCCACCAUCAGUGUUUUAGGUUUAGUAUUUCUCCACAUUCUUGUGAACUCCAGUUAUUACCUGAUUUUUAAAUUCUAGCUAUCCUUGUGGUUGUGAAGUGGUAUUUCAUCAUGGUUUUGAUUUGCAUUUACCUGAUGAUGAAUGAUAUUUGACAUAUUUCCAUGUGCUUAUUGGCUGUUUAUAUAUCUUCUGUGUAGAAAUAUCUAUUCAGAUCAUUUGCCCAUUUUUAAAUUGGGUUGUCUUUUUAUUAUUGAGUUGUAAGAGUUCUUUGUAUUCUGGAUACAAGUCUUUUACCACAUAUAUAAUUUGUAAAUAUUUUCUCCAUUGUCUUCUCUUUAUCAAUGGUAUUCUUUGAAGCAAAGAAUUUUUUUUCUUUAUUUUUUGUUUUGUUUUGUUUUAGAGACAGGGUCUCGCUCUGUCACCCAGGCUGGAAUGCAGUGGCACGAUCAUAGCUCACUCCAGCCUUGACCUCCCCAGGCUCAGGUGAUCCUCCCACCUCAGCUUCCUGAGUAGGUGGGACUACAGGUGUGCACCACCAUGCCUGGCUAAUUUUUGUAUUUUUUGUAGAGACAGGAUUUCACCAUGUUGCCCAGGCUGGUCUCAAAUCCUGGGCUCAAGCAAUCUGCCUGUGUUGGCCUCCCAAAGUUGUGGGAUUACAGGCAUGAGCCACUGUGCCUGGUUAGCACAGAAGUUUUACAUCUUGAUGAAGUGCAAUUUAUUUCUUAUUUUGUUGCUUGUGCUUUCGAUGUCCUAUCUAAAAAUUGUUUCCCAAAUUCAGUGUCACGAAGAUGUACCUCUGUGUUUUCUCCAAAGAGUUUUAUAGUUUUCACCUCUUACAUUUAUUUAGGUCCUUGACCCAUUUUGAGAUAAUUUUUUUUUUUUUUUGGCGAUGGCAUCUUGCUCUGUUGCCAGGCUGGAGGGCAGUGGCACGAUCUCGGCUCACUGCAACCUCCGACUCCUUGGUUCAAGUGAUUCUCCUGCCUCAGCCUCCCAAGUAGCUGGGAUUACAGGCAUGCAUCACCAUGCCCAGCUAAUUUUUCUAUUUUUAGUAGAGACGGGGUUUCACUAUGUUGACCAGGAUGGUCUCGAUCUCCUGACCUUGUGAUCCAUCUGCCUUGGCCUCCCAAAGUGCUGGGAUGAGAUAAUUUUGUAUAUGGUGUGAGCUAAGUUCCAGCUUCGUUCAUUUGUAUGUGGCUGUCCAGUUUUCCCAGCACCAUUUGUUGAAAAGACUGUUCUUUCCCACUGGACAGUCUUGGCACCCUUGCUAAAAAUGAGUUGACCAUGGAUGUAUGGAUUUAUAUCUGGACUCUCAGUUGUAUUACAUUGAUGUGUAUGUCUCUCCUUGUGCCGGUACGACACUGUUUUGAUUGCCAUCGCUUUGUAGUAAGUUUUAAAACUGGUGAGUCCUCCUACUUGAUCUUUUACAAGAUUGUCUUGGCUAUUCUGGGUCCCCUUCAGUUCCAUAUGAAUUUUAGAACCCGUUUGUCAAUAUCUACAAAGAAGUUAUUCUGAUAGGGAUUUGGAUAGGGAUGACAUUGAAUUUAUAGAUCAAGGUGGAGAAUUUUGUCAUAUAAUGAUGUGAAAUCCUCUGACACAUGAACAUGGGAUAUUUUUCCAGUUAUUUAGAUCUUUAAUUUCUUUCAACAAUAUUUUGUAGUUUUUCAGAGUAUAAAUUUAGCACUUCUUUUCUUAAAUUUAUUUUGAUGCUAUUAUAAAUGGAAUUCUUAAUUUCACUUCUGGAUUAUUCAUUGUGACUAGAAAUACAUUUGAUUUUCAUAUAUUAGUUUUUUUGUUUGUUUGUUUGACACAUUGUCUCACACUGUCGCCCAGGCUGGAGUGCAGUGGCAUGAUCUUGGCUCACUGCAACCUCUGCCUCCAGGGUUCAAGCAGUUCUCUUGCCUCAGCCACCCGAGUAGCUAGGGUUACAGGCACGUGCCACCAGGCCUGGCUAAUUUUUGUAUUUUUAGUAGAGAUGGGGUUUCACCAUGUUGGCCAGGCUGGUCUUGAACUCUUGAUCUCAAGUGAUCCGCCUGCCUUGGCCUCCCAAAGUGCUGGUAUUACAGGCGUGAGCCACUACGCCAGACCAAUUUUCAUAUAUUAGUCUUGCAUCCUGCAGCCUUGUGAAGCUUGUUUUGGGUCUUAGUUUUUUUUUUUUUUUUAGUUAAUUCCCUGGGAUUUUCUAUAUACAAUAUUAUGUCAUGUAUGAAUAGUUUUACUUUUUCCUUUUCAAUAUGGAUGCCUUUUAUAUCUUUUUGUUUGUUUGUUUGUUUGUUUUUGAGAUGGAGUCUCGCUCUUGUUGCCCAGGCUGGAGUGCAAUGGCAUGAACUCAGGUCACUGCAACCUCCGCGUCUCCCAGGUUCAAGCAAUUCUCCUGCCUUAGCCUCCCAAGUAGCUGGGAUUACAGGCGCCCACCACCAUGUCCGGCUAAUUUUUUUGUAUUUUUAGUAGAGACGGGGUUUUACCAUGUUGGUCAGGCUGCUCUCAAAUUCCUGACCUCAGAUGAUCUGUCCACCUCGACCUCCCAAAAUGCUGAGAUUACAGGCAUGAGCCACCAUGCCUGGCUGCCUUUCAUAUCUUUUUAUUGCCUGAUUGCCCUGGCUGGAACCUCCAAUUCAUUGUUGAAUAGAAGCCUCAAAGAGGACAUCCUUGCCUUGUUCCUGAUCCUAGGGGGAAAGCAUUUAGUCUUUAAAUAUGAUGGUAGCUGUGGGUUUUUCAUAGAUGUCCUUUAUCAGGUUGAGGAAGUUUCCUUCUCUUCUUAGUUUAUUGACUGUUUUUAUCACAAAAUGGUGUUGGAGUUUGUCAAAUACUUUAUCUGCGUCUAUUAAGAUGAUCAUGCAAUUUUAAUUUGUUAUUGAUAGAAUAAAAUAUAUUACAUUAAUAGAUUUUUGUAUGCUAAACCAGCCUUGCAUUCCUCGGAGAAGUUUCACUUGGUCAUGGUGUAUAAUGCUUUGUAUAUAUUGCUGGAUUUGGUUUUGUAGUAUUUUGCUGAGGAUUUUCGUGUCUAUAUUUAGAAGAGAUAUUGGUCUGUAAUUUUCUUUUUUUGUGGUAUCCUUCUCUAGUUUUGUAAUUAGUGUAAUAUUGACUUUAUUUUAUACAUAAAUUCAUAAGUUGCAUAUAUUUAUGGUGUACAGUAUGAUGUUUUGAAAUAUAUUGACUUCAUUAAAAUGAGGUCAAUAUUACUAAUCCCAAAACCAGAAAAGGAUAUCACAAGAAAAGAAAAUUGGGAAAUAUUCCUGUUCUUCUGCUUUUUGGAAGAGCUUGUGAAGAAUUUGUAUUAAUUUUUUGUUACAUGU